rnacentral:rRNA from 1 species
UACGUAGGGUGCGAGCGUUAAUCGGAAUUACUGGGCGUAAAGCGUGCGCAGGCGGUUUUGCAAGACAGAUGUGAAAUCCCCGGGCUUAACCUGGGAACUGCAUUUGUGACUGCAAGGCUAGAGUGUGUCAGAGGGAGGUGGAGUUCCGCGUGUAGCAGUGAAAUGCGUAGAGAUGCGGAGGAACACCGAUGGCGAAGGCAGCCUCCUGGGAUAACACUGACGCUCAUGCACGAAAGCGUGGGGAGCAAACAGG